rnacentral:rRNA from 1 species
ACUUACCAGGUCAAGACAUGGGCGUGAUUGACAGGCUAAUGACUUUUCUCGAUUCCAUGGAUGGUGGUGCAUGGUCGCACUUAGUUGGUGCAGUGAUUUGUCAGGUUUAUUCCGGUAACGAACGAGACCUCGGCCUUGUAAAUAGCUAUGCUGCUUACAGGGACAUUGGCGGCUACGCCAAGGAAGCUCGAGGCAAUUGCAGAUCUGGAAUGCCCUUAGAUGUCCUGGGUCGCACGCGUGCUACAAUGACGCCACGAACGAGCUUGCGUGAUGAAAGUUACGCAUAAUCAGCAGUCGGCGUCUUAAGGGAUAGUCUCUUGUAACUGUGGGACUCCAACUAGGAAUGUCUCGUAAGCACAAGUCAACAUCUUGUGUUGAUUACGUCCCUGCUCUUUGUACACACCGCCCGUCGCUCCUACCGAUCGAGUGUUUUGGGAAUUGAUUACGUAAGGAAGUCAAAUAACCUAGCACUAGAGAGAGAGCUCAGGGGAUAGGAAAUA